GACCGUAUAGGACAUAAUUUACUAAUAUUAAAGCUGUUGGACCUGGGUGUUAGAUCAUCCUUGUUACCUUGGAUUAUCAGCUUCCUAACUAACCGCCGACAUCGGGUCAAACUUGGAAGGGAAACGUCAGACUGGUUGCCAAUGAAUGCGGGUGUCCCCCAGGGAACUAAACUCGGUCCAAUUUUGUUUUUGGCGAUGAUAAAUGACCUCGAUGUGCGAACACA